rnacentral:rRNA from 1 species
UUUUCUCUGGGAAGAAAGUUGUGAAAGCAGCCUGACGGUACCAGAGGAAUCAGCAUCGGCUAACUCCGUGCCAGCAGCCGCGGUAAGACGGAGGAUGCAAGCGUUAUCCGGAAUGAUUGGGCGUAAAGCGUCCGCAGGUGGCAGUUCAAGUCUGCUGUCAAAGACCGGGGCUCAACCUCGGAAAGGCAGUGGAAACUGAACAGCUAGAGUAUGGUAGGGGCAAAGGGAAUUCCUGGUGUAGCGGUGAAAUGCGUAGAGAUCAGGAAGAACAUCGGUGGCGAAGGCGC